rnacentral:rRNA from 1 species
GAUGAACGCUGGCGGCGUGCCUAACACAUGCAAGUCGAACGGACAGACGCGGAGCUUGCUCCUCGGACGUUAGCGGCGGGCGUGUGAGUAACGCGUGGAUCCCCUACCUAUAAGACUGGGAUAACUUCGGGAAACCGGAGCUAAUACGGGAUAAUAUCUUGAAGCGCAUGGUUGGAUAGUGAAAGACGGUUUUGCUGGAACUUAUAGAUGGUUCCGCGCUGGUUUAGCUAGUUGUUAAGGUAACGGCGUACGGAGGCAACGAUGCGUGGGCGACCUGCGAGGGUGAUCGGCCCCACUGGAACUGAGACGCGGUCCAGGCUCCUACGGGAGGCCGCAGUAGGGAAUCGUGCGCAAUGGGGGGAAGCCUGACGGAGCGGCGCCGCGUGAGUGAUGAAGGUCCGCGGAUCGGAUAACUCUGUUAUGGGUGAAGAACAAAUGUGUAAGUAACUAUGCACGUCUUGACGGUACCUAAUCAGAAAGCCACGGCUAACUACGUG